GACGAACGCUGGCGGCGUGCUUAACACAUGCAAGUCGAACGGAAAGGCCUCUUUCGGGGGGUACUCGAGUGGCGAACGGGUGAGUAACACGUGAGUAACCUGCCCUUGACUUUGGGAUAACUUCAGGAAACUGGGGCUAAUACCGGAUAGGAGCUCCUGCUGCAUGGUGGGGGCUGGAAAGUUUCGGCGGUUGGGGAUGGACUCGCGGCUUAUCAGCUUGUUGGUGGGGUAGUGGCUUACCAAGGCUUUGACGGGUAGCCGGCCUGAGAGGGUGACCGGCCACAUUGGGACUGAGAUACGGCCCAGACUCCUACGGGAGGCAGCAGUGGGGAAUAUUGCACAAUGGGUGGAAGCCUGAUGCAGCAACGCCGGGUGCGGGAUGACGGCCUUCGGGUUGUAAACCGCUUUCGCUCAUGACGAAGCUUUGUGUGACGGUAGUGGGUAAAGAAGCACCGGCUAACUACGUG
rnacentral:rRNA from 1 species